UGCAACUGCCGGGAAUAGAACCCGGGCCGCCCGCGUGGCAGGCGAGCAUUCUACCACUGAACCACC
rnacentral:tRNA from 1 species